CCCAUUCUCUGCAAAACACCAAUAAGGAACAACUGGGUUUUUCCCCUUUGUUGGCCAUGACCAGGUUUUGGGCUUGAAAAGAAGACUAUGAACCCAAAUUUGGCUUUUAACUCCUGCAAAGCAAAGGAUCCAAAGAGAGAGAGAGAGGCAACAACUGCUGCUGCUGCUGCUGCCCAAAGUCCAAGGGCCUUCCUUUGAGUCCAAUUUUUAUUCAGACAUCUUCAGUUUGGAUUAAUGAUUGAACCAAGGUUUGGAAACCACUGCAACUCUUUCAAUGCCUUCCUCCUUUAAAGCGACGCAAGCCAUCCAUGGCCAUUAGUUUUAACCUCUUAAAUGUUCGACUGCAAGCCUGCCUUUGCACUUCCUUCCUUUGUCAUCACCGUCAUCCUUUGGAGGUUCAAAAAUGCGCUUUGUGCAUGCUCAGAGGCACAUUAGUUCUGCAGCGAUGGAACCGCAAUUCCAAAGCACAUUUUUGAGAGGGCAUUAACUCUGCAGCUGGGCAGAGAUUCAAACCCAAGUCUCCCAGAGUUUUGCAGCCAAUCUGGAUUUGCACCAAUCUAGAUUUCUCUCUCCUUUCUGUCCCUUUGUGUUGCAAAAUCUGACUUUAUUUCAUGGACAAACCUAGUAUAAGGAAUCUGAAACAUGAAUUUUAUGGCUCCAAUAUUUGGAUUUCCUCCCCUUUUUGACCUUUGGAGAGAACUGUUGGCAAAGGCAGAGGGAAGCGCAUUAUAAAGAUCAAUCUGAACACAAUAAUAUUGAUUCUUGACGAUCCUGGCAUUUGAGUAUCCAGAACUAAGACGGAAGAUUUGGACGCGCCGCAAGCAUCGUCUUUGCAGAUUCCUCCGUCCGUCGCUUGACGUUUGUCCCAGUAAACUGGCAUUUUUAUCCUUCAGGUGGGCCGUGAAGAUGUGAAGGGGGCAUGGAACUGGCCCCCUCGGCUGCCUUGUCCGUGGCUCUGUGUUUGGCGUUCCUGCGUUUGUCCGAAGCGUCCGAAGCGUCCGAGGUCCCUGUCUGCCAGAUCUCCUCUGCCAAGAAGGCCAACUGCCGAGGCCAGAACCUCCUCUGCGUUCCUCCGCAUCUCCCCAACACUCUGGAGUUGUUGGACCUCUCUUACAACAAGAUCCAGAGCAUCACGUCAGAGGACUUUUCCAAUUUGACCCAACUGAAAGGUCUCGAUUUGGGGUACAACAACAUCGCCUCCAUCGCUGACGAAGCCUUUGCUUCAAACCAGCUCCUGGAGCAACUGAACCUCUUCAACAACUCGCUUUUGGAGAUCCCUUCAAGGGCCUUGGAGCCACUGAAGAACCUCAGGCUGCUCUCCAUGUCCAACAAUUUUUAUCCCAACUCAACCCUGGACAAGGUCUUCCUCAACCUGGAGAAGCUUGAAGACCUUUCCAUGGGAGGUCCAGCCAUCUUGACCGUCAGGAGUGAGGACUUCCUUCCGCUGGAAGAGAUCCCCUUGAAGAGGUUUGCCCUCAAGACAGCCUCCAGUUUGAUGGAGUAUCAAACAGGGGCCUUCUCCAAGCUCAACACAACAUCCUUGUGGUGCGACAUCGCCCUUGACAAAAACCCCAAGGCCUUGCCUUCCAUGCUUCGGGACUUGUGGGGGAAGCCCUUGAGAUACCUCCGCUUCCGCAACCUCUUUGAAUUCACUUACUACACGGACUCCGUGGACCUCUUCUCCAACUUGCCUCAGGUGCAAGCGGAAGAGUUGGUCUUCUUCCGGGGGAAGUUCAACGAGAACCUCUUGCGGCUGGUCUUGCUGAACGUCCAGAAAUCCCGCAUCCAGGACCUCUCCUUCAUAGCAAUAGAUUUUGCGCGGUCCCCGCAAUGGAAGCCACCGGAAGCGAGCAUCGCCAACUUUACCCUGCGCCGUUUGGUGCUGAAGGACAUUAGCAACCCGGACGUCCUGCGUUUUGACUGGACCUUCACCUGGUUCGCCGGAGUGACCGACCUCUCCAUCCUCAAUGUCAACUUCAACUAUGUGCCUUGUGACGCCUGGGACCAGUUGCGCAGCGUGGUCUCCAUGGACAUUUCCAACAACCGUUUGCUCGACGAGUACAUCUACAACGGAGGCUGCUUCUACCAGGGCACCAUGCCCAAACUGGAGACCUUUAACCUGAGCUAUAACGCCUUGACCCGCCUGGGAACGGUGUCCAGGUUGACCUCCGACUGGUCCCGACUUUCCGUGUUAGACCUGAGCCACAACCAAAUUGGGGGACCACCGGAUCUCCUGUGUUCUUGGGGUCCCACUCUUCUUUGGCUCAGCUUGGCUUACAACACAGUGACUAUGGAGGUCUUCAAGUGUCUCCCCACAACGUUGCGCUUCUUGGAUCUGUCCCAUUCCCAGUUGGAACGGCUGGACACCGGCUACUUUGAGGCGGCGGUCAAACUCCAAGAGUUGCGGCUGAGCGGGAACAAGAUCAAGUACAUCCCUACGGAGUGGAAAGGCCCUAGUCUGAGGGUCUUGGCGGUGGACGGCAACGCCUUUGGCGUCAUCGGCAAAGGGUCCUUCGUCAACAUGCCGCACCUGGCCCAGCUGAAGGCUGGCAACAACCCUUACCACUGCGCCUGUGACCUCCAUGGUUUCCUCCAAGAGACCCUGAGGAAGGGUAAGCUGACUUUGCUGGACUGGCCUGAGGGGUGGACUUGUUACCACCCGGAACACCUUCUGGACACAUCCGUGGCCGCUUUCGCCCCAUCGGUCAGCGAGUGCGACAUCACUGUCGUGGUGGCCAUUGCAGUCUCCGUCACGGCCACCCUGGUGAUCGCUUGCAUGCUUCUGUGUUGGAGGUUUGAAGUCCCGUGGUACAUCAACGCCACCUUUCAUAUCGUCCAAUCAAAAUACCGCGCCAGCCGCUCACCGACGUCCCGGGACUUUGCCUACCAUGCCUUCAUCUCCUAUAGCUACUCGGACGCCGACUGGGUGAGGAAGGAGCUCCUCGGGAAGCUGGAGUCCUCCUCUCCUCCGUACCGGAUCUGCAUCCACGAGCGGGAUUUCACGCCGGGACGGUGGGUCAUUGACAACAUCAUUGACAACAUGGAGAACAGCCGCAAGGUGGUCUUCGUCCUCUCGCGAAGCUUUGUCGACAGCGACUGGUGCAACUACGAGCUCUACUUUGCCCACCAGCGAGCCGUGGGGCUCAGCUUCGAGGACGUGGUCCUGGUGGUCAAGGAGGCCAUUGACCCCCAGGCUUUGCCCCACAAGUUCUGCAAGCUGCGCAAAAUGCUGAGCACCAAGACCUACUUGGAGUGGCCUUCGGAGCCAAGCCGGCAAGCUUUCUUCUGGGUCCAGUUGGCCUCCGUUUUGGGGAAGGUUGAGAAGACCGCUAUGGACCCAAAGACUGAUCCGGUUAAUGCGGAUGAAGUGUCCGAAGGGACAAUGGUUGCGCACCUUGAGAUGGAGCAUGUAGGUUGCGCACUUUGAGAUGGAGAUGGAGGAAACAUUGCGGCGGACGCUCUAUUGGGUUAAGCCAGGCUUAGCUUUAGGCCAGACCACUCGGCUAGAACUAGGAUGGUGAUCAUAUAGCUAUCCAGGUGUUACUGGACUACAACUUAUUCUCAGGGAUGCCUUCCAGGAUCUCUGGAACUCGCUUCCCAGAAAAGACCAGUGUCCUCCUUUUUCUCAAUGGUUUCUGUUUUUUAACUGGGUUUGAUUUUUCUGGUUGUUUCGUUGCUUUUAUAUACUGUGAAUUUUUAACGGUGUCUGUUUUACCUUGAGUCCCAAACUGGGAAAAUCAGGAUGACAACAACAACAAGAAGAAGAACAGCAACAACAAGAACUACUACUACUAUUACUACUACUCCCUGCAGCCUUCUUCACCUUGGAGCCGAUGCAUCGCUGUGAUGCUCAGCCUGUGGAAGUUCUUCCUAUCGGACGUUGGUGAGCAAGAGAAGGAAAUUGCAGCCGGAGUUCAGCACCAGACAUAACAUCUUACAAAAGGGGGAAAGGCGCAACGUCUCAUGUAUUUUUAGCAGCCAAUGGAAACUUCAUGCCAAGAUGAAGGAGGGAAGAGAAGAAGGAGUGAGCAAAAGAGUCCGGCCAAAGACAGUGCAACCUUUGAGACUCAGAGGAGGAGACGCGCAACGUCCGGCUCCGUCUGGAUGUCGCUGGCCCUUGCCAUGUCCAAACGGCUGUUGCUUUUUCCCGGUGCAUGCCUUGGGUGCGAAUUAUGACUCCAUGCGCCAUGCGUCGAUCCCAUUGCUGCUGCUGCUGCUGUUCUCUGGCUUUCCUCUUCUUGCUGCUGACAGGGUUUGGGGCCUCCUUUAACAUAGAUGUGAAAAGGCCACAGGUUUUCCGCGGACCCCAAGAAGCUCAGUUCGGGUACAAAGUCCUCCAAUACACGGGGCAAGGCCAGAAAUGGGUGUUGGUGGGUGCGCCUUGGGA